rnacentral:RNase_P_RNA from 1 species
GAAGCAAGUCAGACCGCCGCUGGCCCGAGCAUGGAAACAUGGGGCUGGAGGAAGGUCCGGACUGCAUAGAGCGGCGUAGCAGCUAACGGCUGUCCGGCGUGAGCCGAGGAUCAGAGCAACAGAGACGAAUCGGUUGUCCGGACCUGCGGCUUGGCGCAAGCCAGGCCGCAAAGGUUCCUUUUUGUGGAGAGCAUGUCUCGCCAUAAAAAGCGGGGGACGGGCAGGGCGCAAGCCCUGCGGGAUCGGUGACGCAGUCACCGAGACCGGGUGAAACGGGCAAUCUCUACGCGCAGCAACACCAAGUAGGCCAGUAUUGAUGCGGCUCGCAGAGCUGGCGGGUAGGUGGCACCGAGCCGGGCAGCGAUGCCCGGCCAAGAGGAAUGGCGGUCACAGGACCAAGCUCGCAAGAGCAGAAGUCCUGCACAGAAUCCGGCCUAUCGACUUGCUUCACAC